rnacentral:snoRNA from 1 species
UUUCACGAUGACAAAGAGCUUUCAGCUCGAAUUAACCCAGCUCGUUGAGGCGGGAGUAACGCCCCAUAUGUCCUUGAGAUAAUUGUUUAUUCUGAUCU